rnacentral:lncRNA from 1 species
CAGGGAAGGAAGUAUCCAAAUCAAGGAGAUUAGCCUGGUUGCAAUAGUACAGCAUUAGUAGCAUCUAGCAAGGAAGGGGUAGGAGAGAGAUACUGAGGGCAGACACAGGUAUAGAGAAAGGGAGAAAACAGAUUCAAGAAGUGUAAACUCUUCUACCAAAGAUGAAUAUCCAGCAAUAGAUUCAAGAAAAAAAAUUUUCCCUCAUUUCUUCUAGUCCCCAUGGGAACCCCUCUCUGAAGGGUUGUGCCCUAUACAGCAUCACAAAGCCUAGUAUUUGAUAAUAUGCUGUCUGGUUAUUGAUUGUGUGAGUUGUAGGAUGUGAGCACAGCUGGAAGCCAAUCAUCACCCAGCUCAUUCUUCUCAUACAGAUAAUCCAACUGAGGCACAAAGCAGGGAUGUAAAGCAUUUAUAAUGGAGAAAUUCUAUAAUACAUAGACAUUCUUGAUUAGAUGGAAGAUAACCUUAGUAAAGAUGGCUUUAGCAGCUGGAGAGAACAGGAGCAUUCUCUUUCCGAAGGUGGAGUUUGAGAUGAUGAAACUGAAGUUCACAGAGUGAAAUUUGGCCAGUAUCACACAGCUAAGAAAAUAUUGAAGGUCUCAGUUCAAGAUUCCCUCGAAUCUGCACAAUGUUAGACCUCCUUCAAUAGAUACAAGAGCAACAGAGAGACACGAUGAAAAAUCAAUCACUCAAUCAGUCAACAAGGCCCUGGAUAAAUGGUCAAGAGAAGAGGAAAAAGUCAAGGAAAUCCCACACCGGCUGAUGAGAUUACUAAGAGGAUAGAGAGAAAGAAG